GUGAAUUGAAUAUGUUAGCGGACCUCUUCGGAGUCCCUAGCAUCAAAUCAUAUCCAUAACACCUGGUGAACUGUAAGGCUGUCUUGAAAACGAAAGUGAUUAGAGCGCCUGCCCCAUUUUAUACCAACAUUAAAGUAACCAAACGUAGUCUUAUUAUAAUCUAAUA
rnacentral:misc_RNA from 1 species